AUCGAACGCUGGCGGCAUGCCUAAUACAUGCAAGUCGAGCGAGCGGCGGACGGGUGUGUAAUGUAUGGGGAUCUGCCCGAUAGAGGGGGAUAACUACUGGAAACGGUGGCUAUAACCGCAUACUAUCGGAUGAACCCAUAGGGGAUUAGCUAGUAGGUGGGGUAAAGGCUCACCUAGGCGACGAUCGCUAGCUGUGCUGAGAGGAGGAUCAGCCACACUGGGACGGAGACACGGCCCAGACUCCUACGGAAGGCAGCAGUGGGGAAUAUUGCACAAUGGGCGAAAGCCUGAUGCAGCCAUGCCGCGUGGAUGAAGAAGGCCUUAGGGUUGUAAAGUACUUUCAUCGGGGAGGCGUUACCCGCAGAAGAAGCAACGGCUAACUCCGUGCCAGCAGCCGCGGUAAUAC
rnacentral:rRNA from 1 species